rnacentral:misc_RNA from 1 species
UAUAGUUGCAGAUGGAUAAGGAUAGAGGAAGAAAAAAGGGAGAGGCUUAGUCCGAACCUUGGCUAAGUAUUAGGUAUGGCCUGACAUAAGACUUUGAUAAACGGUUAAUAGCCAGUAUGUCCGUGACUUAAUGGACACGUGGAUGAUGGAAGCCGGACAAUGGAUUAGAUCGGGGAACACAACGUACGGUGGAGAGCGAUUUGCGCUCAUCGCACGGUUGGAUUGAGAUGGUAGUGGAGAUAUUUUUGACUUGUUUUUUCAGUAAUGAUUUGUGUCCGAAUUCUUCACCACAGUAGGGCCCAAAUUAGGCCCGGUCCACAAGGAGAGAGCAAUAACAAACUUCAUCGAAUUCGGAAGAAUCUCGCGCGAUUUCUGAUAUGUCUCCGUUCUCCAGAUCAAAACCCCUAUUCCAAAACCCUCUGUUUCUCCGAUAUCCCCAAAUUCAGAGAACCUAUUACGCAAAAUUCUCCAAAAUGCAGAGCCAGAAGCGGGUAAUAUGCCCCAAAAACGAAGAGUAUCGUGUAUGUUGCUCGCAUCUGAUGAUGUGCAUGGUUUCAGUGAUUAUUUUUCUUGUAUUUCUUUCUGUGAUUUGGUGAAUUUUAUUUGCCGAUUUUCUCGUUAUUUUACUCACUUUAACAUUAUUAUUAGUUCUUUUUGUCCUGAAGGAUGGUGAUACCAGUGCGCAGGAGGGGAUGCUUCGGAAGCAGUGUAUCAAUGCUAUUAGUGCCACUGCUAGUAGGAAUAUCUUCCGAUUGGUUUGAGGCAAUGACCAGUGAGUCUCAUUGCGAGGAAAUGAACUUGGUUUUCUGGAAGCAAAAGCUAUUUGCUUCAUUAUUGCUGUGGUUUUGUCGUGCAAUGUAAUAUUAAAACGCGAUCAUGAGUUGCAAUCUGUAUAUUGUGGCUGAAUCAAUUUUCCAUUGUAUAGUUGCAAAACAGUAAUCUUCAGAACUUGUUUGAAAAACUAAAUCAAUGAUUGUUUUCAACCAAUUGAAUGGUUGGUGAUGGAUUGAGUGCUACAAAUGGCUUUUGACAUGUGCAUAUACAGGCCACAAUAUAUAUCUUGGAAAAAUAUGCAAAAUUGCACAGAGAUCCUAUGUGGAGAACUUGAAGCUACUACAACCAUGAUACAAUCCUUGUGCCUAUCUAUUUUGCUUUUUGAUGAUCCGGAAACUGUCCUUAACUUGUCUUGUAUUUGAAUUCACAAGCUCAAAAUUUAGCUCUUCUGUUGUUACAUGUACUCUUCCAUAGCCAAAUUCGGAUACCCUUUUCAAACUCCAGUGAUGAAUAAUGGAUGAGAAGUUGUCCAAAGUGAAGCCAGCCAUGCCGAUAAUUGCAUGCACUGGUGCUUUGUAUUUGCUGUGAUCAUAUGUGUCAACCCCAUUUGCAUCUUUGGUAGGCAUGGCCAAGCAUUCAGCUCUAUAAACAGAACAGGUUCUCUCAUAAUUGUGAACGUGGCCAAAGAACACCAGAUCAACCUUGUAAUCCUGCAAUAAUGGCUCUAUAAAAACACCAAAUUUUGGAUCGACGCUUAACAAAUUAGAUGUGUACAUGGGUCUGUGCCCUGUAAAGAUUAACCAAGGCGUUUUCUUUCGAUCAACUGAAGCCAUGUCCUUCCUUAUCCAUUGAUACUGCUCGGAACCUGGUGUCCAGUCAUGCUCGGUCGAGAUGAUUGUGAAGUGAACACUUGCUUGUUCUAUGGAGUACCAAGGCUUAUCCUUUGCUGGAAUUGGCAUUGGAAAGUAGGUCUCAUAGGCAACUCCACAUUCUCCACCUGAGUCAGGAGUUCCAUAUACUACUCCUGUUUUUAUGUAAUCCCUCUCAUGGUUUCCUAUUGCAGUCAUGUAAGAAACUCGAGAUGCCAGUGGAGUUAUCAGGUGAAGGAAAAAAUCCCAUUCAACUAAAAAUCCUGUUGCAUAGCUUAUAUCUCCAAUGUGGAAGAUGGAGUCUAUAUUGCCGGAUUUUACUUCAUCAGUCAUAGCCUCAACCACUGAGAUGGAUCCUGGCUGAAUGUAGUGCUCAGCAGAUGCAUCGCGUGGAGCCUUUCCCAUAUCACCAAAUGCAAGAAACCUAAGUUCAUUUGAUCCUGCAGCUGGCGGAGUCUGAAACUGAAUUUGAUCACUCCAGCCAACUGAAUCACUUCCAUAUCUGUAGGAGAAUUUGCUUGAAGGGUUUAGUCCAGUCAUGAUUGCUGAAUGAAUGUAACCAGGGUCAUGCCAUCCAAAAUCCUUGGCCGGACUUGGCACCAAAGAACUGCACAUAUCUUCUUGUGAAAAUGUUGUAACUUGUGAAGUCAAUGUCUUCCCAUUUCCAUACUGCACUUGUUGUGGUUCUUUGCUCCCACUAACCCAUGUUACUCUCAUUGAUGUUGCUGUUGAAUCUGUACUUGAAAUAUGUGCAUACAAUGGAGCGUUUGGAUUGGAAAAUUUCAAAGGACUAGACCUAGCCAAAAUGCAAGGUUCGUCGAAUCCACCAGCGAAGAGCACAAAUUCAAUGUCAGUUCUGAUAUUGAUGAUAUGAAACUGUAAUGUACCACUGCAAGUGGUCACCACACAUUUAUUACCCUCGUAUUUCUUGCAUUCCUGUUUCUUGCAUCUUAGAUAGUCUGGAUCAAUGCUCAUAAGCUCUGCCUUAACGGGAUAAUGGCAGAGAAGUGGGAGAUUACUAAGAUCACCAGUCUGCAUAUAUAAAGCUUUACUCAGAGGACAAGUCCCCACGUUGGAAUUAGAAGGUGAAAUCAUGGCAACCCAAUGAUCAUGGGAAGGACGCAAAACUCCACUAACUGUUACGUUAACAAAUUCUUCAUUGGAGAGGGUAUAAUUUCCUGAUGAGCUUACAUUUAUUUGGAGAUAAGGAUUAUUGAGAGGACAAUGCAACAAAGCUCUUCUAUUCACCACUCGGAAACUUGAUAUCCCUGUGUAGUUACGAUGCUCAAUCGUGGAGUUAACCACCAGUGGAUGCAAUGAAUAAGAAGAAGAAUGAUAAGGAAGAAGGAAGAAAAAUGGUAAUAGGAUGAACAAAAGCUUUGGAACCCAAGAAGAAUAGGAG